UGCUGAGGCACCCUAAAUGCUAAGUUAAGUUUUCAUCAUUUAGGGUUUGUCGAUGCCGAGGCACCCUAGGUUGACUGAUAUAUAUGGGUAUCUUUUAAUAAUAUACCCUAUCAAGAAAAGGGAAGGAGAAUUCUAAGUUGGGCCUAAUCACUUGGCUCUAUUGCCACCUAUGGUUUAAUGCAGCAAGAAUAAAGGGGCAGUUGAUCCUACUUAAUUAAGUACUAAGAUACCCCGGCCCAUGCAUUAGUCGCAAGUACCCCAUAUGUCCUAUUUUUAGCAAAGUCAUG
rnacentral:lncRNA from 1 species